rnacentral:rRNA from 1 species
AUUGAACGCUGGCGGCAGGCUUAACACAUGCAAGUCGAGCGGAGCGAGGGUGCUUGCACCUUAGCUUAGCGGCGGACGGGUGAGUAAUGCUUAGGAAUCUGCCUAUUAGUGGGGGACAACAUUCCGAAAGGAAUGCUAAUACCGCAUACGCCCUACGGGGGAAAGCAGGGGAUCUUCGGACCUUGCGCUAAUAGAUGAGCCUAAGUCGGAUUAGCUAGUUGGAGGGGUAAAGGCCUACCAAGGCGACGAUCUGUAGCGGGUCUGAGAGGAUGAUCCGCCACACUGGGACUGAGACACGGCCCAGACUCCUACGGGAGGCAGCAGUGGGGAAUAUUGGACAAUGGGCGGAAGCCUGAUCCAGCCAUGCCGCGUGUGUGAAGAAGGCCUUUUGGUUGUAAAGCACUUUAAGCGAGGAGGAGGCUACUUAGAUUAAUACUCUAGGAUAGUGGACGUUACUCGCAGAAUAAGCACCGGCUAACUCUGUGCCAGCAGCCGCCGUAACAC